rnacentral:rRNA from 1 species
ACGUAUGGGGCAAGCGUUGUUCGGAAUUAUUGGGCGUAAAGGGCGUCUAGGCGGGGAAUUAAGUUAGGUGUGAAAGCUAUGGGCUCAACUCAUAAAUUGCAUCUAAGACUGAUUUUCUUGAGUUCGGGAGAGGAGAGCGGAAUUCCAGGUGUAGCGGUGAAAUGCGUAGAUAUCUGGAAGAACACCAGUGGCGAAGGCGGCUCUCUGGCCUAGAACUGACGCUGAAGCGCGAAAGCGUGGGGAGCGAACAG